ACAAUAUUUGGACCUUCGGACUACCGAGCAUUUAGAACCCGCUCGGUAGAAGAUUUUCCCGUUGUGGU
rnacentral:pre_miRNA from 1 species